rnacentral:rRNA from 1 species
UACGUAGGUGGCAAGCGUUAUCCGGAUUUACUGGGUGUAAAGGGCGUGUAGGCGGGAGAGCAAGCCAGACGUGAAAUUCCAGGGCUCAACCCUGGAACUGCGUUUGAAACUGUUCUUCUUGAGUGAUGGAGAGGCAGGCGGAAUUCCGUGUGUAGCGGUGAAAUGCGUAGAUAUACGGAGGAACACCAGUGGCGAAGGCGGCCUGCUGGACAUUAACUGACGCUGAGGCGCGAAAGCGUGGGGAGCAAACAGG